rnacentral:rRNA from 1 species
UACGUAGGGUGCGAGCGUUGUCCGGAAUUAUUGGGCGUAAAGAGCUCGUAGGCGGUUUGUCGCGUCUGCUGUGAAAACCCGAGGCUCAACCUCGGGCCUGCAGUGGGUACGGGCAGACUAGAGUGCGGUAGGGGAGAUUGGAAUUCCUGGUGUAGCGGUGGAAUGCGCAGAUAUCAGGAGGAACACCAAUGGCGAAGGCAGCUCGCUGGAACGGUACUGACGCUGAGGCGCGAAAGCGUGGGGAGCAAACAGG